AAACCAUGGUGUGGGCAUUGAGCUUGGUAGCCCUUGAAUCUCUCCCAGGCUUCACUGAAUCCUUCCAAGUUCUUCUGUUGAAAGCUGGAAAUCUCAUUUCUCAGCUU
rfam:Brassica napus, WGS project CCCW01000000 data, contig: 6750